AAUAGUUUAAUUAUUUGCCGCCUUCUCUUUCCUCCAGCAACUCCAUCUCCUCCGUCCCUCGCUCUGCUGGCACCCUCCGCGUCUCUCUCAUCAUGUGAUGAUGAUGGACAAGUCAGGGUGGUGUGUCUGGCACAGGGUUUUGUUCCCGAUAGCGCCACUCUGUCCUGGUCUGAUAACGGCAACGCUGUAGCGGGUUCUGAGGUGCAGACGAGUUCUUCUGAGCGUCAGUCUGACGGCACCUUCAUCCAAAGCAGCAUGCUGAAACUCAGCCCUGAGGGCUGGAGCUCCGGACGAACCUACACGUGCCACGUGAACCACCCGGCUCUGUCAGCACCGCUGAGUCAGAGCACCAGUGCUGAGAAGUGCAGCUAGACAGCUGGAGAGAUGGAUGUGCUGAAUGUAGUACUGUAGUCAUCAGCAUGAAGAGAGGAGAAAGUGAUAAAAUCAUCUUUUAAAAACAGCUGCUUUGCUUCAUGUCUCAGAGAAUUUUUCUCUGUGUUUCUGCUUGUGUUUAGAGUCGAUGUAGAAUAUUUCAUGUUCUUGUAUUUGCAUGGCUAAUUACAAGAGUUUUCCUCAAUAAAGUGAUUAUAAGAGACAAAA